rnacentral:rRNA from 1 species
GGGAUAUUGCACAAUGGGGGAAACCCUGAUGCAGCGACGCCGCGUGGGUGAAGAAGUAUUUCGGUAUGUAAAGCCCUAUCAGCAGGGACGAUAAUGACGGUACCUGAGUAAGAAGCCCCGGCUAACUACGUGCCAGCAGCCGCGGUAAUACGUAGGGGGCAAGCGUUAUCCGGAUUUACUGGGUGUAAAGGGGGCGCAGACGGAAAUGCAAGCCAGAUGUGAAAGCCCGGGGCUCAGCCCUGGGAGUGCAUUUGGAACUGUGUAUCUAGAGUACUGGAGAGGUAAGCGGAAUUCCUGGUGUAGCGGUGAAAUGCGUAGAUAACAGGAAGAACACCGGUGGCGAAGGCGGCUUACUGGACAGAGACUGACGUUGAGGCCCGAAAGCGUGGGGAGCAAACA